AUGCAGCAUCACUGUCAUUUCUAAAGCUUCCAUCAGUCUGAAUGGAAACAGAGCACAGCAAGAGGAGGAGCUACACAACUCAAUAUGAAAGGCUUCAUUUCAGACCUGAGAGCUGCUGAGUUCUCUCUAUUGUUCAUUCAGUACAAGUGAAAAUAAUGCUGCUGCUUUUAGUUUGGAUCAUGAUCGUCUCCUUUCAUUCUGGAUCCUCUGAGGAUUUAGUGAAACCAUUUAAAGAUGAAGUGAUGGGUUCAGAAGGAGACACUGUGACUCUCUCCUGCAACUAUUCAGGCUCUGUAGAAAGACUCUACUGGUAUCAACAGAAGUCCAGUUCAUCUCCACAGUUUCUCAUCGCAGAUUAUUCAGAGAACACACCAGGACUAUCUUUACAACAUGACAAGAAAACUAGAGAGUUUCAUCUGAACAUCUCCUCUGCUGCAGUGACUGACUCUGCUGUGUACUACUGUGCUCUGAGGCCCACAGUGACAGGAAACACCAAAACUCUGUACAAAAACCUUUGGAGCAAAGACAACACAAUACUCCACAACAUCCACUAG